rnacentral:rRNA from 1 species
AGUGAACGCUGGCGGCAGGCCUAAUACAUGCAAGUCGAACGGCAGCACAGCAGAGCUUGCUCUGUGGGUGGCGAGUGGCGGACGGGUGAGGAAUACAUGGGAAUCUGCCCAGUCGUGGGGGAUAACGUAGGGAAACUUACGCUAAUACCGCAUGCGCCCUUCGGGGAAAGCCGGGGACCUUCGGGCCUGGCGCGAUUGGAUGAGCCCAUGUCGGAUUAGCUAGUUGGCGGGGUAAAGGCCCACCAAGGCGACGAUCCGUAGCUGGUCUGAGAGGAUGAUCAGCCACACUGGAACUGAGACACGGUCCAGACUCCUACGGGAGGCAGCAGUAGGGAAUAUUGGACAAUGGGCGCAAGCCUGAUCCAGCAAUGCCGCGUGCAGGAAGAAGGCCUUCGGUUGUAACUGCUUUUGUCAGGAGAAAUCUUCUGGGCUAAUACCCCGGAGGAUGACGGUACCGUCGAAGAAGUAAGCAACCGGCGUAACUACGUGCC